rnacentral:snRNA from 1 species
AUCGCUUCUCCACCUUUUAGCUAAGAUCAAGUGUAGUAUCUGUUCUUAUCAGUUUGAUACCUGAUACGUCCUCUACCGGAAGACAAUACAUUAAGUGGAUUUUUGGAGUUGGGAGCUGGACUAGGAGCUUGCUCCGUCCACUCCACUCCACUCCGCGUACGCGGUGCACCCCAU